rnacentral:tRNA from 1 species
GCGGGUGUGGCAUAGUGGCCGUGCACGACUCUUCCAAAGUCGAUACGCAGGUUCGAUUCCUGUCAUCCGCUC